UGGGGAAUUUUGGACAAUGGGCGCAAGCCUGAUCCAGCAAUGCCGCGUGCAGGAUGAAGGCCUUCGGGUUUUAAACUGCUUUUGUACGGAACGAAACGGCUCUGGUUAAUACCUGGGGCUAAUGACGGUACCGUAAGAAUAAGCACCGGCUAACUACGUGCCAUCAGCCGCGGUAAUACGUAGGGUGCGAGCGUUAAUCGGAAUUACUGGGCGUAAAACGUGCGCAGGCGGUUAUAUAAGACAGAUGUGAAAUCCCCGGGCUCAACCUGGGACCUGCAUUUGGAACUGUAUAGCUAGAGUACGGUAGAGGGGGAUGGAAUUCCGCGUGUAGCAGUGAAAUGCGUAGAUAUGCGGAGGAACACCGAUGGCGAAGGCAAUCCCCUGGACCUGUACUGACGCUCAUGCACGAAAGCGUGGGGAGCAAACA
rnacentral:rRNA from 1 species